GUGCUCGCUUCAGCAGCAUGUAAACUAAAGCUGGAAUGAUACAGAAAAGAUCAGCUCAGCCUCUGCACAAGGAUGACACGCAGAUGCCAUGCAGUUCAUCCAGGCCUC
ensembl:snRNA U6 U6 spliceosomal RNA